rnacentral:rRNA from 1 species
CCUACGGGUGGCAGCAGUGAGGAAUAUUGGUCAAUGGCCGAGAGGCUGAACCAGCCAAGUCGCGUGAGGGAAGACGGCCCUACGGGUUGUAAACCUCUUUUAUCUGGGAGCAAAGUGAACCACGUGUGGCUCAUUGAGAGUACCCGAAGAAAAAGCAGCGGCUAACUCCGUGCCAGCAGCCGCGGUAAUACGGAGGAUGCGAGCGUUAUUCGGAUUUAUUGGGUUUAAAGGGUGCGCAGGCGGAGGUGCAAGUCAGCGGUCAAACUGCGGGGCUCAACCGUAGAAUUGCAAAUGAUACUGGCAGUCUUGAGUACAGGUGAGGUAGGCGGAAUUCGUGGUGUAGCGGUGAAAUGCUUAGAUAUCACGAAGAACUCCGAUUGCGAAGGCAGGUUACUAAACAGCCACUGACGUUGAUGCUCGAAGGUGAGGGUAUCGAACAGGAUUAGAUACCCGUGUAGUC